rnacentral:rRNA from 1 species
ACGAACGCUGGCGGCAUGCUUCAUACAUGCAAGUUGAACGCCCCGCAAGGGGAGUGGCGGAAGGGUGAGUAACGCGUGGGAAUCUGCACUAGACUGGGGGAUAACCUGGGGAAACUUGGGCUAAUACCGCAUAUUGCCGAGAGGUGAAAGAUUUAUUGGUCUAGAAUGAGCCUGCGUAUGAUUAGCUAGUUGGUAGGGUAAAGGCCUACCAAGGCAUCGAUCAUUAGCUGGUCUGAGAGGAUGAUCAGCCACAAUGGAACUGAGAUACGGUCCAUACUUCUACGGAAGGCAGCAGUAGGGAAUUUUGCGCAAUGGGCGAAAGCCUGACGCAGCAAUGCCGCGUGUAGGAAGAAGCACUUUGGUGUGUAAACUACUGUCGGUGGGGAAAAACUCAAUGAUUGUACCCACAAAGGAAGCAUCGGCUAACUACGU